GACAUCGGGUGCUGUAGGUGUCCUGGAGGGCAGGAACUUUGCCCCCGGUGAUGUGUUGUGCAGACCGCACCACCGUCUGGAGAGCCCUGCGGUUGUGGGCGGUGCAGUUGCCGUACCAGGCGGUGAUACAGCCCGACAGGAUGUUCUCAAUUGUGCAUGUGUAAAAGUUUGUUAGGGUUUUAGGUGACAAGCCAAAUUUCAGAGGCACGACUCAACCUUCGCCUCUCCCGAGUCCGUACCGGAGUGAUGGGACAAAACUGUAUCUACGUAUUGGAUAUCACGAAAUUGGGGAGAAAACAAAAAAAAAGUCCUCCUCCUCCUCCAAAAUGCCAGCUGAUUCGAAAGAAAAUCUAGUCUAUUCUGAGUUUUUGUUAUUUAAUUUAACUAGGCAAGCCAGUUAAGAAGAAAUUCUUACUUACAAUGACAGCCUACCAAGGAACAGUGGAUUAACUGCCUUGUUCAGGGACAGAACAACAGAUUUUUACCUUAUCAUCUCAGGGAUUUGAUCUGGCAAACUUUCUGUUACUGGCCCAAUACUCUAACCACUAGGCUACCUGCCGCCGAGGCCAAGCCAGGGAAGGCCACAUGUAAGACCCAUUGUACUGGUCGGCAAUCAGUGAAAUCUAAUUGUGGGAUUUUGCAAUUUCGAUGAAUAUGGAAUAAGCUAAUUCCUUCAUUUGUUGACUGGAAAUGUCAAUUUUCAGCAUCAACUGAACCUGUUGAUGUGACCUAUGUUGAGGUUGAGCUUAAACAGAAGGCCAAAGCCAAGAAGAAGAAAGAAACAGCAACCCCACCUGAGGCAGAUUCAGUCUAUUCUGAAGUGAAGCCAGGUACAGCACCAGGUCCUUGAGGGAUGGAGAGAGGGAUGCCAGGGUGGGGGGAUGGAAGGAUGGUGGGAUUUAGGGAUGGAAGGAUGGAGGGACACAUCUUCAGCGGAGGAGCAGAAGGAACCCGGGAACAUGGAUUAUGCACGCUCAAUGCACACGCACAAACACACCAACACACUCACACACGCACAAACACACAGACUCAAACACAAACACACACACACACACACAAUAGCACCUUGUACAUUUAUUAUUUUAUUUACCAACAGAUAUAUUGUAUUUAAGCAUGAUUUAAUUGUUUCACUGUAACAGCUUUGUUGAAUUAUAUGGUGUGAUGAUGGAUCUUAUCUGCAGAUACAGAAAUUUUAUCUGCUUUGUAUUGAGUUUUAUUGUUUAGUUGUCUGUCAUUCAGAUGAUAGAAUAACAUAUUUGUACAUGAAUUUCCAAAAUAUUCCAAGUAUUAUUCAUGUUUUCUUCUAAUGGCCUGUAC